rnacentral:rRNA from 1 species
ACCGGCGCACGGGUGAGUAACACGUAUCCAACCUGCCCUUUACUCGGGGAUAGCCUUUCGAAAGAAAGAUUAAUACCCGAUAGCAUAAUGAUUCCGCAUGGUUUCAUUAUUAAAGGAUUCCGGUAAAGGAUGGGGAUGCGUUCCAUUAGGUUGUUGGUGGGGUAACGGCCCACCAAGCCUUCGAUGGAUAGGGGUUCUGAGAGGAAGGUCCCCCACAUUGGAACUGAGACACGGUCCAAACUCCUACGGGAGGCAGCAGUGAGGAAUAUUGGUCAAUGGGCGCUAGCCUGAACCAGCCAAGUAGCGUGAAGGAUGAAGGCUCUAUGGGUCGUAAACUUCUUUUAUAUAAGAAUAAAGUGCAGUAUGUAUACUGUUUUGUAUGUAUUAUAUGAAUAAGGAUCGGCUAACUCCGUGCCAGCAGCCGCGGUAAUACGGAGGAUCCGAGCGUUAUCCGGAUUUAUUGGGUUUAAAGGGAGCGUAGGUGGACUGGUAAGUCAGUUGUGAAAGUUUGCGGCUCAACCGUAAAAUUGCAGUUGAUACUGUCAGUCUUGAGUACAGUAGAGGUGGGCGGAAUUCGUGGUGUAGCGGUGAAAUGCUUAGAUAUCACGAAGAA